GUUUAAGCCUGGCACAAUACCAGUGCCCCCAUGAGAACACCUACUUCCCUGGCACCUACUGUGAGAUAUGAUCAGAGACAGAGCAAAGCAGGCUCCAACUUAAGGUUAAAAGGAAAAAAAAAGCAUUUAUUAACCUACAACUACAAAGAAAGACUACACAAAACACAAUAGAACAUAAGAUGAAAACCUUCCAAAAUUCUUCCUCCUCCCCCCACCAAAUUUCCAAUUUCAUUGCCACCCUUCACACAGUCGAUUCUCAGUCUCUUGAGGAGAGAGAAGUCCCUCUUGCGCCACACGCCUUCCAUGUCCAGUGCUCUCACCACUGCACAUGGAUCAGAGCUGCUUCUAGGGUUUUCCAUUUUAAGGAUACUUUGACCAGUUCCAAAGGGAUCGUCUUCUUCUUCUCUUCUUCGAAGUGGAGGGCACCACCACACCCUCCUCACCCGUCGUCUCUGUUCACUCCUCCACAUCACUGCACUCUCUUGGCUCUGAGCCAUCGCCUCCCCCUAGAACGCAGUCUCUGUGGCACAGAAACACCCGUGGUUCUGCUGUGGCUACACAAGAAAAGUCCAGCCCAAAGCCACUUCAUCAUCUCCUCCCACCUAGAAUUUUCUCAACAUCUUCUCAAUCUCAACAGCUUCUCAAUCUCAUCAACUUCAGGAGGACUCAGCUUUUGCAAGGUUCUCAUCUUCCUCAAAGGGGUUAAAAGUCCCGAGCUCUCUCUCUCUGCCGGUUUACUUCGUCAACUCCCACGCCUGUCUGCCCUGCUGGGCAACCCCCCCCUUCUCCUUCACGCCGGGCCACUAUCACAGCCACCACAGGCACCGGCUCUGUCUCUCUCUCCCUCGCAAGGGGGGGGUGGGGGAAUGGAGGACGGCUGCCCGAAGCCCUUGCAAUGUUCUCCUCCACCCUUGGGCCCAGGCCUGUCCUACCUCUCUCUGGCCACAUGGCUCCCCUCCCCCCCUGCCCAGCCAAAGGAGCUGGGCAGGGGGGUCUACUCACUCUCCAGCGGGACUCCAAGAGGAAGUUCCCCUGGGAGAUCACAGCUUUUAACCCCUGUGUUCUCAGAGGCGUAUCCUGCCCUCAGUGGACAAACCAGGUGCCAAUAUUAAAUCUGAACACUGAUUGGAUUGCCCACACCAUCACAAAAAACUUCAUUUCCUUUCAAACCACGACAACUGCUCACACCAAAAGUGAAUCACAAGUCACGUGUGAUAUUCUUUUUAAUGAAGCAAGCACAUGACACU
rnacentral:lncRNA from 1 species